rnacentral:tRNA from 1 species
UCCAGGGUAGCCUAGUGGACAUGGCAUCUGCCCGGUAAGCGGAACACUGUGGGUUCGAAUCCCAUCCCUGGAC